UCGAGAAUCUUCGGCAAUGGGCGCAAGCCUGACCGAGCGACGCCGCGUGGAGGAUGAAGGCCCUCGGGUUGUAAACUCCUGUCGAGGGGGAAAAAGGUCUCGCAAGAGGCUUGAUUGAUCCCUGGAGGAAGCACGGGCUAAGUUCGUGCCAGCAGCCGCGGUAAGACGAACCGUGCGAACGUUAUUCGGAAUCAUUGGGCUUAAAGCGCGUGUAGGCGGAUAAGCACGUCCGACGCUGAAAUCCCCCGGCUCAACCGGGGAACGGGCGCGGAUACGGCUUGUCUGGAGGGGCGUAGGGGGACCUGGAACUUCCGGUGGAGCGGUGAAAUGCGUUGAGAUCGGAAGGAACGCCCGUGGCGAAAGCGAGGUCCUGGACGCCUACUGACGCUGAGACGCGAAAGCCAGGGGAGCGAACG
rnacentral:rRNA from 1 species